rnacentral:rRNA from 1 species
CAGCCGCCGCGGGAAUACGUAGGGUGCGAGCGUUAAUCGGAAUUACUGGGCGUAAAGGGUGCGUAGGCGGACUGAUAAGUCAGGGGUGAAAUCCCAAGGCUCAACCUUGGAACUGCCUUUGAUACUGUUAGUCUUGAGUUCGAGAGAGGUGAGUGGAACUGCGAGUGUAGAGGUGAAAUUCGUAGAUAUUCGCAAGAACACCAGUGGCGAAGGCGGCUCACUGGCUCGAAACUGACGCUGAGGCACGAAAGCGUGGGGAGCAAACAGGAUUAGAUACCCCCGUAGUCCCUGUCUCUUAUAC